rnacentral:rRNA from 1 species
GACGAACGCUGGCGGCGUGCUUAAUACAUGCAAGUCGAACGGACAGGCCCUGCUUUUGUUGGGUUCUCGAGUGGCGAACGGGUGAGUAACACGUGAGUAACCUGCCCUUGACUUUGGGGUAACUUCAGGGAACUGGGGCUAAUACCGGGUAGAAGCUCCUGCUGCACGGUGGGGGUUGGAAAGUUUCGGCGGUUGGGGAUGGAAUGGCGGCUUAUCAGCUGGUUGGUGGGGUAGUGGCUUACCAAGGCUGUGACGGGUAGCCGGCCUAAGAGGGUGACCGGCCACCUUGGGACUGAGAUACGGCCCAGACUCCUACGGGAGGCAGCAGUGGGGAAUAUUGCACAAUGGGCGGAAGUCUGAUGCAGCAACGCCGCGUGCGUGAUGACGGCCUUCGGGUUGUAAACCGCUUUCGCCGGUGACGAAGCGUGAGUGACGGUAAUGGGUAAAGAAGCACCGGCUAACUACGUG